UCCAAAUUUUCAUGUCAAUGUUAAUCACAAUCUGAAUCCUUUUCUCGGAUAAGCUAGGGCUGAUUUUGAUUGAAAUCUGAAUCGCGCUCUAAUCAUCAGGGUUUAAAGCCUUAUUCAAAUUGAAUAUAUGUUUGAUGAAGUG